CUUAUAAUAGUUUAAAUAAAACAUUACAUUUUCAUUGUAAAAAUAAAUUAAUUAUUUUUAUAAGU
rnacentral:tRNA from 1 species